rnacentral:rRNA from 1 species
CCCUACGGGGCGCAGCAGUGGGGAAUAUUGCACAAUGGGGGAAACCCUGAUGCAGCGACGCCGCGUGAGUGAGGAAGUAUUUCGGUAUGUAAAGCUCUAUCCGCAGGGAAGAAAAUGACGGUACCUGACUAAGAAGCCCCGGCUAACUACGUGCCAGCAGCCGCGGUAAUACGUAGGGGGCAAGCGUUAUCCGGAUUUACUGGGUGUAAAGGGAGCGUAGGUGGCAUGGUAAGCCAGAAGUGAAAACCCG